UACGGAGGGGGCAAGCGUUGUUCGGAAUUAUUGGGCGUAAAGGGCGCGUAGGCGGCCGAUCAAGUCGGGUGUGAAAUCCCUCGGCUCAACCGAGGAACUGCACCCGAUACUGCUUGGCUAGAGUCCGGGAGGGGAUGGCGGAAUUCCCAGUGUAGCGGUGAAAUGCGUAGAUAUCUGGAGGAACACCGGUGGCGAAGGCGGCAUCCUGGACCAAUAUUGACGCUGAGGAGCGAAAGCCAGGGGAGCAAAGCGGG
rnacentral:rRNA from 1 species